CAUUGUUCACAAACCUGUCUAUAUCUGUUAGUGAGAACGUACACACGAUGGAAGCAAAAAAUUGUAUUUUGGAUGCGAUUCACUGCAAUCAAUCAGUUGAUGGCACUAAUAAAUACACAUUUAGACACACAAUUUGGCUUAGUGAUAUUGGUGACAUAAAGUGUUAACUUGUGCCGACUUUUUUACAUUUCUUUUUAGGAUCUGCCAUGCAUAGAUGAGCUGUCCAACCAGUCGCUGUUCUCGUCGCCAUCUGACUCUCUGUCUGAGUAUCCAGACCCUUCAGGAUUCGCCGUCGAUGGCCUGGCACAGCUAUCCAAUGAGGGCCCCGCGGCACCCGUGUACUGGGAUAUAGCUGGACACAGUCAGAGACAGCAAUCCCUGAGCAUUUUUCAGAGUAGGUUGGAUGAUGUUAGUACUAUCCUGUCUGCAUCCGUUGCAGGAUUUAAGGCCGCUGCUCCUCCACUGCCACCACCACCACCACCGCAGGAGGAAGAGGAGGAGGCAGAUGAGGAAGAGACGGAGGAGCUGGGGCACGCGGACACAUACGCCGAAUAUAAGCCAUCCAAAUGUAAAUAGACAUCCUGUGUUAU